rnacentral:piRNA from 1 species
UGGCCAUGGACAUGUUGGAAAGUCUCCAG